AUGAACGCUGGCGGCGUGCCUAAUACAUGCAAGUCGAGCGAACAGACGAGGAGCUUGCUCCUCUGACGUUAGCGGCGGACGGGUGAGUAACACGUGGAUAACCUACCUAUAAGACUGGGAUAACUUCGGGAAACCGGAGCUAAUACCGGAUAAUAUAUUGAACCGCAUGGUUCAAUAGUGAAAGACGGUUUUGCUGUCACUUAUAGAUGGAUCCGCGCCGCAUUAGCUAGUUGGUAAGGUAACGGCUUACCAAGGCAACGAUGCGUAGCCGACCUGAGAGGGUGAUCGGCCACACUGGAACUGAGACACGGUCCAGACUCCUACGGGAGGCAGCAGUAGGGAAUCUUCCGCAAUGGGCGAAAGCCUGACGGAGCAACGCCGCGUGAGUGAUGAAGGUCUUCGGAUCGUAAAACUCUGUUAUUAGGGAAGAACAAAUGUGUAAGUAACUAUGCACGUCUUGACGGUACCUAAUCAGAAAGCCACGGCUAACCACGUG
rnacentral:rRNA from 1 species